AUAGGAAAGCUUCUGUGAGCACAGUUCUGCUGAUCACUAAUAAAGAAAUGAUGUGUUGCAAGUACAAGGUGUUGGAUGUCAGAAGAAACAGGGAAUGAUAAAUUUGACAUCCUAAUCUAACCAAGGACCUUCACUUUUUGGACAUGGUGGAGAAAGGUUAUGAAUGCACAUCUAAGUAAUCUGCUCUGUCAGACAGGAGAUAGUUGAUGGAAACAUGAGGACAUCUCCAAGUACGAAUACUGCGUGUCCACAGUGGGAAUUGGUGAAGUCCUUAGGCUUAAUUAAGACGUAUCGUGGAACCUAUGAAUAAGCAAUUCACAGGACGGGAAAUCUAAAUGGCCAGUACACAGUGGAAAAAUGUUCAGUCUGGGUAGCAACAAAGGACUGAAAAAUGAAACACAUUUUUUUCCUACAAAAUCACUGCCCCUCUUCCCCCACUCCCACCCCCCCAAAAAAAAGAAAAAGAGAGAAGUUGAUGCUGUCAAAGAUUGUGGGAGCCAGAUAUUCUCAAACCAGGCUGAUAGAGUACAACUUGGAAUAACCUUUCAGGGGGCGAUUUGGCAAUAAGACAAAUAUGCUUGUUUCAAACGCCUUAAAUGAAUGCCUAUGUUUGAACCCAGCAAUUCUACCUCGAGAUAUUUAUCCUCAGGGAGUAAUUAAGGAUGUGCUCUCAAACUUAGCCACAGAAGGCACUCUAUAAAUAGUUACUAAAUGAAGAAGUGAGUGAUGUUCAUCGCAUUGUUUAUAAUAAUGAAAAUUCUAAUAACAGGAAAAAUCAAAUAAAUUAUGGUCUGCCCAUAAAAUGGAAUCCUCU